rnacentral:rRNA from 1 species
AACGAACGCUGGCGGCAUGCCUAACACAUGCAAGUCGAACGAUGCCUUCGGGCAUAGUGGCGCACGGGUGCGUAACGCGUGGGAAUCUGCCUUUCGGUUCGGAAUAACUCAGGGAAACUUGAGCUAAUACCGGAUAACGUCGCAAGACCAAAGAUUUAUCACCGAAAGAUGAGCCCGCGUAGGAUUAGCUAGUUGGUGAGGUAAAGGCUCACCAAGGCGACGAUCCUUAGCUGGUCUGAGAGGAUGAUCAGCCACACUGGGACUGAGACACGGCCCAGACUCCUACGGGAGGCAGCAGUGGGGAAUAUUGGACAAUGGGCGAAAGCCUGACCCAGCAAUGCCGCGUGAGUGAUGAAGGCCUUAGGGUUGUAAAGCUCUUUUACCCGGGAAGAUAAUGACGGUACCGGGAGAAUAAGCCCCGGCUAACUCCGUG